CUUCACAUAACAUUAGUCUUAGAUUUUAUCUCGAGCUCCAUUAAAAAAUAAACAAAAUAGUCGGAAAAGAAGCCAUUGAUUGGAUAGGAAUUCAUUGAAUAGAGUUCAAUUAUCUGUACGGAAUACUGGAGAUGAUAUCAGCAACCGGUGCUUCUCCUAGGAACUGCCGCCACUGUCCGCCCUUUUUCCCUCUCCCCUCCCGCUUUCGAUGCCGACCACUACACAUAUCUUUUGCUUAUAAACUCUUCCCUCUUACCGAUUAC
rnacentral:lncRNA from 1 species